rnacentral:rRNA from 1 species
AUUGAACGCUGGCGGCAUGCCUUACACAUGCAAGUCGAACGGUAACAGGUCUUCGGAUGCUGACGAGUGGCGAACGGGUGAGUAAUACAUCGGAACGUGCCCGAUCGUGGGGGAUAACGGAGCGAAAGCUUUGCUAAUACCGCAUACGAUCUACGGAUGAAAGCAGGGGACCGCAAGGCCUUGCGCGGACGGAGCGGCCGAUGGCAGAUUAGGUAGUUGGUGGGAUAAAAGCUUACCAAGCCGACGAUCUGUAGCUGGUCUGAGAGGACGACCAGCCACACUGGGACUGAGACACGGCCCAGACUCCUACGGGAGGCAGCAGUGGGGAAUUUUGGACAAUGGGCGAAAGCCUGAUCCAGCCAUGCCGCGUGCAGGAUGAAGGCCUUCGGGUUGUAAACUGCUUUUGUACGGAACGAAAAGACUCUAGUUAGUACCUGGGGCUCAUGACGGUACCGUAAGAAUAAGCACCGGCUAACUACGUGCCAGCCGCCGCAGUAAGAC